ACAAACUUGGUCAUUUAGAGGAAGUAAAAGUCGUAACAAGGUUUCCGUAGGUGAACCUGCGGAAGGAUCAUUACUGAAGGACUGGCUAGGUUGAGCUGACCCCUCUUAGGAGGGUUAUAUGCUCGUCGAGUCGCUUUUUCUUACUUUCCACUGUGCACCUUUGUAGGUUCUAUGAUGACUCUCAGGUCCUUUCGGACUUGGAUUCGAGGUCUUGCCUUUCAUUAGGCUUGUAGCCUCAAUGUUCAUAGACCUACAUUACACAAACUCUAUAUAAAAGUCUACGAAUGUUACUUUUUGUUGGUCCUAGACCGAUAGAAAAUCUAUACAACUUUCAGCAACGGAUCUCUUGGCUCUCGCAUCGAUGAAGAACGCAGC
rnacentral:misc_RNA from 1 species